UACAGAGGGUGCAAGCGUUAAUCGGAAUUACUGGGCGUAAAGCGUGCGUAGUCGGUUAUCUAAGUCGGGUGUGAAAUCCCAGGGCUCAACCUUGGAAUUGCAUUCGAUACUGGAUAACUAGAGUUCGGCAGAGGGAAGUGGAAUUUCCGGUGUAGCGGUGAAAUGCGUAGAUAUCGGAAGGAACAUCAGUGGCGAAAGCGACUUCCUGGACCAGUACCGACGUUCAGGCACGAAAGCGUGGGGAGCAAACAGG
rnacentral:rRNA from 1 species